rnacentral:rRNA from 1 species
CCUACGGGAGGCAGCAGUGGGGAAUCUUGCACAAUGGAGGAAACUCUGAUGCAGCGAUGCCGCGUGAGUGAAGAAGGCCUUUGGGUUGUAAAGCUCUUUUGUAGGGGAAGAUAAUGACUGUACCCUAAGAACAAGGUCCGGCUAACUUCGUGCCAGCAGCCGCGGUAAUACGAAGGGACCUAGCGUAGUUCGGAAUUACUGGGCGUAAAGCGCGCGUAGGCCGUUGAGUUAGUUAAUUGUGAAAUCCCAAAGCUUAACUUUGGAACUGCAAUUAAAACUGCUCGACUAGAGUUUGAUAGAGGAAAGCGGAAUACAUAGUGUAGAGGUGAAAUUCGUAGAUAUUAUGUAGAACACCAGUUGCGAAGGCGGCUUUCUGGAUCAACACUGACGCUGAGGCGCGAAAGUAUGGGUAGCAAAGAGGAUUAGAUACCCUCGUAGUCCAUACCAUAAACGAUGAUUGCUAGAUGUUGGAAAUUUAUUUUCAGUAUCGCAGCUAACGCAUUAAGCAAUCCGCCUGGGGAUACGACCGCAAGGUUAAAACUCAAAUNAUAGACGCGNGAGACGUGCGACGACGACGACGAGGAGAGG